rnacentral:lncRNA from 1 species
ACUUUCUUGAACUAAAUGACACUCUCAAAGCAGGACAAAGAGUGUUUGACAUCUAUCUAAACAGUGAGAUUAAAAAGGAGGGUUUUGAUGUAUUGGAAGGAGGAUCCAAGUACAGUUACACUGUUUUGAACAUUUCAGCAAAUGGAUCACUCAAUAUAACCUUAGCCAAGGCAUCUGGAUCACUCAAUAUAACCUUAGCCAAGGCAUCUGGAUCUAAGUUUGGACCCCUUUUGAAUGCCUAUGAGAUCCUGCAGGCGCGACCAUGGAUCGAUGAGACCGACCAAACAGAUCUGGAAGUUAUUCAGAAGAUGAGAAAAGAAUUGUUGCUGCAAAACCAAGACAAUGAAGCAUUAGAGAGUUGGAGUGGAGAUCCUUGUAUGCUUUUUCCAUGAAAAGGAGUAGCAUGUGAUGGUUCAAAUGGUUCGUCUGUCAUCACUAAGCUAGAUCUUUCCUCCAAUAAUCUCAAAGGAACAAUUCCUUCCAGUGUCACUGAGAUGACCAAAUUACAAAUACUGAACCUGAGCCACAACCAUUUCGAUGGUUAUAUCCCCUC